rnacentral:lncRNA from 1 species
GACUAUUUAUCUCAAAAUACAAACAUUGUUUUACUAAAUUGAAGCUGUGUCUGGUGCCCGACACAUGUCAGUAUCAUGUCUGGCAUUUGUGUUAGUACUUCACAAAGUAUGACAGCUCAAGCGGUAAGACUGUGAAGUGUGAACCAUCUAUAUCGCCAGUCUAAUUAUCCUUUGUUACAUAAUACAUUUUCCAGUUCAACCACCAAUUGUAGUUGCCUAAACCAAUUGAACCACAAACUGUACCUAUAGCCAUAUCAAUCUCCGAUUUGGUAUUCCAGCAUGAUAUUCACAAUACAAGAUCCAGGACCACAAAACGGGGGAGAGUGCCCUCUUAAAAACAUAUUUCAAAGUAGGAAAAAUCCACGCACAAACCAAGGAAAACAAAGUCAAUAGAGGUAUUGAUACAUCCUAAUUACAAAAGUUAAUCAAGUACUCAACUUGGAUACACCAGUUUAUGCAGUAAUAAUUGGUGAAUAAUAAGCACUAAAAGUCUAAGGUUAUGACCCAGAUCAAACAAUUACUACAAUCAACAAUUACUACAAGUUAAUCAAGGAAAACAAAGUCAAUAGAGGUAUUGAUACAUCCUAAUUACAAAAGUUAAUCAAGU